rnacentral:misc_RNA from 1 species
GAAAUGCGAUAAGUAAUGUGAAUUGCAGAAUUCAGUGAAUCAUCGAAUCUUUGAACGCACAUUGCGCCCGCCAGAAUUCUGGCGGGCAUGCCUGUUCGAGCGUCAUUUCAACCCUCGAGCUCCCCUUUCGGGGGGAGCCCGGCGUUGGGGACCCGGCGCUAACAACGCCGGCCCCGAAAUGGAGUGGCGCCCGUCCGCGGCGACCUCUGCGUAGUAACAACCACUCGCACCGGGACCCGGGCGCGGCCACGCCGUAAAACACCCCACCUUCCGAAUGUUGACCUCGAAUCAGGUAGGAAUACCCGCUGAACUUAAGC